GACGAACGCUGGCGGCGCGCCUAACACAUGCAAGUCGAACGAGCGAGAGAGAGCUUGCUUUCUCGAGCGAGUGGCGAACGGGUGAGUAACGCGUGAGGAACCUGCCUCAAAGAGGGGGACAACAGUUGGAAACGACUGCUAAUACCGCAUAAGCCCACGACCCGGCAUCGGGUUGAGGGAAAAGGAGCAAUCUGCUUUGAGAUGGCCUCGCGUCCGAUUAGCUGGUUGGUGAGGUAACGGCCCACCAAGGCGACGAUCGGUAGCCGGACUGAGAGGUUGAACGGCCACAUUGGGACUGAGACACGGCCCAG
rnacentral:rRNA from 1 species